rnacentral:rRNA from 1 species
GGGGGGGGGGGGGGGGGGGGGUGGCGGAGGGAGGGGGGACGGGGAGAGAGGGGAGCGUGCUUCUAUCAAGCUGAGUGGCGACCGGGUGCGUAACGCGGGAUCAACCUGCCCGUAAGCGGGGGACAAGCGCUGGAAACGACUGCUAAGCCCGCAUACGAUCUACCCGCGCCAUCGAGGAGAGAUAGAAGGGGGGCGAGACCUGUAAGCUCCCACUGAGGGAACGUAAUGCGUCUGAUUAGCUAGUUGGAGGGGUAACGGCCUACCAAGGCGAUGACGAGUUGCCGGUCUGAGAGGAUGAACGGCCACAUUGGGACUGAGACACGGCCCAGACUCCUACGGGAGGCAGCAGUGGGGAAUCUUCCGCAAUGGACGAAAGUCUGACGGAGCAACGCCGCGUGAGUGAUGACGGCCUUCGGGUUGUAAAGCUCUGUUAAUCGGGACGAAAGGCCUUCUUGCGAAUAGUGAGAAGGAUUGACGGUACCGGAAUAGAAAGCCACGGCUAACUACGUG